AAAACCUAUGAAUUUAGGAGUCUGUAAGCUUUACUAUUUUUCAUUUCUUUUUAAAAUUAUUUUCUUAUUUUUUCCUGUAGGAAGUUCUGCUCCCAGUAAGGAAUCACCAAAUAGUGCCAAUGAUUUAGAUGGAAGUCUUAUUGCUGUGGUUGUUCUUAUUGUACGUGAGUGUACCAAACUUGGAUACCACUUAAAUCAAAAUAUUAAUGUGAAUGAAGGCACUUUUAAGUGAUUUUUCUAGUUUCUACAGUUUUUAUAGCUUGAAAUUAAGUAAACCAGUCUAGAAACACCUGACCUUUUAUAUGAUAUUCUACCCUGUGUUCGUGAUUGUAUAUUCUUUUGUACUCUAUAUGUCCACUUAGUAACAAACCCUAAAUAUCCCCAAUAUGCUUUGAGUAAUAUUCUAAAUUAAGCAAGGACUGUUUGGCUUACUGUGGACUCUUUAAGUGAUUCCAUGGAAUUGCAUUUAGAGAGUGAAGAGUCCAGAUGGAAUAUGAAUGUACAUAUGCUUAAAUAAAAUAAUAUUGCUGCCUACUGAAAUGUUACCAAUAGUAAUUUCUUGUGCUAGAUUUUGAACCUUGGUAAUAGUUUUCAGAGUUACAUGUAAUUUGUUUUCUGCUUUUUUAUAGUUCUUGGCGUUGCAAUAGUUGACACCUGUGUGUACAAAUGUCUUCACAUCAGGAAGAGAGAAUAAAUAAAAUAAACAUGGUGCUUGAACGUAUUGGUGCUCCUCACUCUCUACAUAUUUUGUGCAGCUUUUGUUUGCACUCUGUAUUGCAUGCUGCCUUGUUUUAAAAAAUGUGCUUUUUGUGAGUGUGCUGUCAGACUUGCAUUUCCUUACUAAAAAUAUUUUCACGAACUUUUAAUAUCAUUGUAACCAGACUAAUCUGCAGAUUUGUUUUAGCUGUUAUGAAUGUAAGAAAAAUUUCUGUGUGGUAUAAGGUUUAAGUUCUGCAGAAAAUCAUGGAUCAUUAUAGGGCCUUCCCUAUCCUAGAUGCACCCUGUUUCCUACAGUGGAUUGGUAGCCAGGACUAAAUUUAAGAUAGUUCACUGUGGAGACUUUGACAAUUCUGUUCACUGUGAUUUUUAGGAUGAAAGUUUCCAUCUGUCUGUAUAAUUUAAAUAGUUGUAAGAAGUUAUGCACAUGUCUUAUUCAAAUACCCAAUCUGCUUGCCUUUCAUUAGAGUUGUUAUUUAUACAUAUUAAGCUGGGGAAUUAAAAGCAACAUCAUCUGACUCUUUUCUUAUAUUGUCUUAAUUUACUAGGUAGCAGUAAAUCUCUAGGGUUAAACUAUAGUUGCUGAGAGGGGUAAAUUACCAAGGCACCUCAUCAACUUAAUCUGCCUUUUUAUCUAUAAAAAUGGAAAAGGGGGGAAUUAUAUCUUCUAAGGACAAUGUGGUUUAUAUGUAAACAUCACAUUUAAAUUUUACUGAAAUGAUUUACAAUGUAAUGAAAGUUUUAGAAUAAAUCCUUGAGCAUAGACCAAGAUUAAAAUAUUUGAUUUUUAGUGAUUUGUUUUCCCCUGUCAUUUUGGAGAGAGAAAGUUUUGAAAUCAAACUAAUAUUUUAAGAUCUUUUGUAUUUGUGGUUUCAUAAUAUGUUUUCCUUUUAUUUUAAUUACUGGGUUUGGGCUAUGUACUAAGAGUACAUCCUUCACUCAUAAAGAGCUCAAACUUUUUUUAUAUUGGUUAUCUUUUUAAAAAUAUCCACAGUGCCUUCAUUUGAACCUUAAAUCAUAUUGUAGAACUCAUGAUGUGCAUAUUUGAUUUCUCUAUUUGUAGUAUAAUUUUUAAAUGACAUACACAGCCCGGCCAGCGGCCGGGCGUCGACCUUGAAGCAGGCGGUGGUGGCUCGGUGCCCAUCAGGGCACAUUCCAGGCUCUGGGCUCCAUCCCUAGUCGGGGGCCUGCGGAGGCGGCCGAUAGA